GAUGAACGCUGGCGGCGUGCCUAAUACAUGCAAGUCGAGCGAACGGACGAGAAGCUUGCUUCUCUGAUGUUAGCGGCGGACGGGUGAGUAACACGUGGAUAACCUACCUAUAAGACUGGGAUAACUUCGGGAAACCGGAGCUAAUACCGGAUAAUAUUUUGAACCGCAUGGUUCAAAGGUGAAAGACGGUCUUGCUGUCACUUAUAGAUGGAUCCGCGCUGCAUUAGCUAGUUGGUAAGGUAACGGCUUACCAAGGCAACGAUGCAUAGCCGACCUGAGAGGGUGAUCGGCCACACUGGAACUGAGACACGGUCCAGACUCCUACGGGAGGCAGCAGUAGGGAAUCUUCCGCAAUGGGCGAAAGCCUGACGGAGCAACGCCGCGUGAGUGAUGAAGGUCUUCGGAUCGUAAAACUCUGUUAUUAGGGAAGAACAUAUGUGUAAGUAACUGUGCACAUCUUGACGGUACCUAAUCAGAAAGCCACGGCUAACUACGUG
rnacentral:rRNA from 1 species